GAGUGUCAAUCAAAAGUCUCUCUCCAAAUCGUCCGGCACAUUUAGGCAGAUCUAUUUAUUUUUUGAUUAAUAUUUUUCAACAAUGCAAAUGCAUGUGCAUUGCUAAACGACCGACAAAAGAGUGUAUUUAGUGACUAGAAAUAUAAAGAAGCACAAAAUGCAAUUAGGCUCCAAGCUUCAUGUGUACAAGGGCGAGUGGGGACUGCCGUCCAUUGAUUUCGAAUGUAUGCGUGCCUUGUGUCUGCUGCGCUUCACCCGCUGCCCCAUGGACAUUGAAACAAACACAAACCCAUUGCGUUCGGGCGCUGGAAAAUUGCCCUAUCUACAGAUUGGCAAUGAUAAAUUUCUUGGAUAUAAGGAAAUUAAACGCGUGCUGGAUCUAGAGGGUUAUCCGGUCGAUGCGCACUUAAAUAUAAAACAAAAGCACUUGUCCACCACAUACUCGAACUGGGUAUUCACACAACUGCAUGCCUACUACCAUUACUUCCUGUACGGUGAACCCCACAACUAUGAUACAACCACACGUGGCUUGUACGCAAAGCGCACACCAUUCCCAUUUAAUUUCUACUAUCCUUCAACUUACCAGCGCGAAGCCACCGAUGUAGUCCAGGUGCUGGGUGGUUUCGACAUUAACGAUAAGCUGGAGAAGCAUGAGGCCGAAUAUCUGACAGCUAAUGCCAAAAAGUGUGUUAACUUACUUUCUCGUAAAUUGGGACGCAAGGUUUGGUUCUUUGGUGACACCUACAGCGAAUUGGACGCCAUUGUCUACAGUUAUUUGGCGAUUAUUUACAAAAUAACACUGCCCAAUAAUCCGCUACAGAAUCACAUAAAAGGCUGUCAAAAUCUAGUCAAUUUCAUUAAUCGCAUCACCAAGGAUAUAUUCCGCAAUGAAUGUUAUAGUUCCACCAAACUAACCAAAGCCUCCAGCCACACAGACAAUACGAUGACCCCGUCGGAGCGCAAAUUCUUGGAGACGGAGCUAAAUACAAAGAUUGUCGCUGGCGUUGGCGCUGUGCUGGCGAUGGGCGCAUUUGCAGCUUGGCGUGGCAUUUAUACCCAGCUCAAGAUUAAAUAUUUUGCUUGACUGCAAAGCGAAUGCUGUAAUCGAAAAAUAAAUAGAUCAAAUUUAAAUUUAGGUGCAAACAAAUUUUAAGUUAACACGCUCGUCAACGGAUUAUGACGGCAUCGACUAUGAGGACGAUGAGUUGGAGGAGGUCUUGGAUUAGCUUCAGCUCUGUACAUUUAUAAUUUUAACCAACGAUGUAUAUUUAUAAAUAUUUCGAAAAUGAGCGAAUCGGAAGGCACAGCAGAAAUUUGUCUUUAAGCAAUUCGUUAAAAAAGCACGCAUAUAUAUUUAUGUAUAUACGAUUUGAAGCUAUAUAAAUUAAUAAUGCGCCCUCCACCAUUAUUCAUUGUUUUUUAAAACUAUUUACCCUAUAUGAAAUUGUAUGUUUAAAGGAAAAAUAAGCAGCAACCAAAGCGUAAUAAAACGUACAACUGACGCUGCUAACGUUAAUUGUAACUAGAUUGAA